rnacentral:snRNA from 1 species
AGCUUUGCGCAAUGGCAGUAUCGUAGCCAAUGAGGUUUAUCCAAGGCAUGAUUAUUGCUAAUUGAAAACUUUUCCCAAUACCUCGACAUGACGACUUGAAAUAUAGUCGGCACUGGCAAUUUUUGACAGUCUCUAAGGAGA